AAAUGCAUAAAAGACACAGGUACAGACAUUGUUUGUCGUUUAUACAUAUAGAUGAUUACCGAUAAUUAUGUUAAUGUCAAUAUUCAAUUUGUAAGUAUAAUUUUUUUAAACAGCUGUUUUUCCUAAUCAAAAAUAUAAAAAGGACAAAAUAUACGAAAACGCUGUCUUGUCAUAUAAUUUACUAGAGGCGUUUGUUAAAAGAAAAGAUCACAUACGUUGGAAAAAACUAUGCAAAUGGCACGCUGUUAUAGCACUAUUCUUCGAGGAUCAGCGAGAGAUUUUCAGAACGAUGAGGGAGACGAAUACAUUUACCAUUACUACAAAAAGUUGGUGCAAGGAAAAAAAUCUUCGCCAAUGAAUUAUAACAUACGAUGAACGUGUCCAACAGUUCUGUAUUAUUCUUUGUUAAUCUUAUUGCCAUGUUAUUUAAUUAAUAUUAACUUUCAUUGUAUUUUUUUCAUUAUAUUCAUUAUAUUUCUUCAUUGUAUUAAGAAUAUAUGAUAUUUAAAAAAAAACCGAGGAACUCACUUCUGCUAUACAGGGUUUAAAAUA